rnacentral:misc_RNA from 1 species
AAGUCGUAACAAGGUUUCUGUAGGUGAACCUGCAGAAGGAUCAUUAGUGAAGAUUUGGGCAGGCCAUACGGACGCCACAAAGUGUCCCUGGCCGCCUACACCCACUAUACAUCCACAAACCCGUGUGCACUGUCCUUGGAAAGGGCAUUUGGAGAGAAAAAGAAAGAGAAGCGAGAGCAGUGCGAUCCGUCGCGUUGGGCGUUUUCUCUGACUUGGUCUCUCUGAGGCCCUUUCCUUGCUACAAACUCGAAUGGUUAGUAUGAACGUGGAACUUGGUUGGACCGUCACUGGCCAACAAACUAUACACAACUUUCGACAACGGAUCUCUUGGUUCUCC